rnacentral:lncRNA from 1 species
ACAGCGCCAAGUGAUAUUGCCAUUUGUGUCAUCUUCUGUAGUGCCUGGCUCGAAUGAUCCCAAAAGAGCAAGCUGAAGUAAAUAUACGGCUAUGAUCAAAAGAGGGUAAAGCCUCUAUUUUUUGUGCCAGCCUGCAGAUGCUUAGGUUUUGAAAUGCAAGUCUUCGAAAAACAAGUUAUGGUGCAUAUUGACUCCACGGACUACCCAGACAAGUA